UACAGAGGGGGCGAGCGUUGUUCGGAUUUACUGGGCGUAAAGGGCGCGUAGGCGGUCAGCACAAGUCAGUUGUGAAAUCUCCGGGCUUAACUCGGAAAGGUCAACUGAUACUGUGCGACUAGAGUGCAGAAGGGGCAAUCGGAAUUCUUGGUGUAGCGGUGAAAUGCGUAGAUAUCAAGAGGAACACCUGAGGUGAAGACGGGUUGCUGGGCUGACACUGACGCUGAGGCGCGAAAGCCAGGGGAGCAAACGGG
rnacentral:rRNA from 1 species